CACGGGGGGAGCAAGCGUUGUUCGGAAUCACUGGGCGUAAAGGGCGUGUAGGCGGUUUGGUAAGUGGGAUGUGAAAUGCCUCGGCUCACCCGAGGACCGGCAUCCCAAACUGCCAAGCUUGAGUAUGGGAGAGGAUGUGGGAAUUCCUGGUGUAGCGGUGAAAUGCGUAGAUAUCAGGAGGAACACCGGUGGCGAAGGCGCACAUCUGGCCCAAUACUGACGCUGAGGCGCGAAAGCUAGGGGAGCAAACGGG
rnacentral:rRNA from 1 species